GCCCACUCUAUCCUUACUUCAUCAAUUUCCUUUUUGGAGUAGCAUCCUCCUGCAAACUAUAAGAAAGACAAACUUGUGAUCAAAUAUGAAAUUAUAGAAAUUGUCUUGAAGUAAAAUUUAAUAAAAAUUAUAAAUUACAAUUACCAGUGUAAUUAUUGGGAGAGAGUGAUCAGAUACAAUAUUAUCAAUAACAUCUCUCAUGUAUCGCAUAACAUAGAAUCCACACUGUUUCCCAUCAGGUUGUUGUGGACUCUGUCACAUUUAAUAAUACUAGUAAACAACUAAACAUACUAUUUAAUCCAAGUGAAACAUAAUUUUAAGGUAAUAAUUUCAUACAUCGAUCACUUCCCACAAAAGAUUCUGUCUCCCCCUUAUUCCUAUGCUCAUGUUGAACAUUUUUAUGGCUCUACACAUAUUAUAAUAUACAUUAAAAACAAAUAAUCUAAAUUAAUCUAAAAAAUAAUAAUAAAACUUACGUCGUCAUAAUGCUCUUCCACUCCUCAACAUGACAACUGUCAGUCAAUGGAUCCAACACAUAUAUUGUCUCCUUAUGGGGAUAAACCAUCAUGAUGACCCAAUGCCAACUAAAAGAAUAAAUAAAUAGUUACCAACAAGUAUAAUAUAACAUAAUCAUUUUAAUUGAAAAAAACUUAAUAAUUUUCACAUACCCUACGUUACAUAUAGCACAUAUAGCACAUAAUCGGCUCCAAGCCAUCGCCACAACAACAAAUGGAAUGGAACGAGCCAUUCCCCAACCUAUUCUCCAUAUCCACUACCUAGAUACAUGUUUAUCUAUGGUAUUUACAUAAUCUACUACCUAGAUACAUGCUUGUCUGUGGUAUUUACAUAACCAUGGUUGCCACUUGAACCAUGGUGCAAAAAUAAAAGUAAGAGUAUAGCAAACUAACCGUAAAAGCUUAUCUCUUUCUUUUCUCUCUCUGUGGCUGCUUCUUAGAUAUCUGUGCCAAAAAGAUAUAGGAAUUUAAAGAUUAAAAAUUGCAUCACACCUUCACAUGAAACAAAAUUAGUAAAGUGUGAUUAAAUAUGGUAGAAUUAGUGCCCAUAAUCGUUCUGGGUAAAGCAAAAUUCUAUUAUUAUAUUUAACUAGGAAAAUAAUGUAAUGAGUUGACAUUCACUUUAAAAGCAGCAGCAGCAUGAUCACUAGUGGAAAUCUAGUUACAAAAUGCAAAUAAGCACAAAUCAAAGGCCACAUUUGGAGAGACAAAUAGCAAAAUUAAACCCCUCCCAAUUUUCAUAAGACGAAGUAGCAGCCUAGCUAUAUAUAUUCCUCUUAGCAAUGCUUGCAAGAUUGAGUAUUUGAAAGGUCACAUGAUCAAACAAGCUCAUAAUUGUUCGGUCAUACAUAUAUUAUUCAUCGAUAUAGUGAAAGGAAAGUUAUAUUGAAGGAAAGAUCAGAAAAGAAAGCAAAAGUAAGUAAGGAAAAUUACAUAAAAGCUCAAGAUCCAGAACAGAUUCACUUCUGUUGAAAUGAAUGUGAAUUGAAACAAAACUAUGAUCAAGACAUGCUGGUCUUGGCUUGUUCCAGCAGCCAAAUANAUAAGUUCAUAAUAAUGUUCGUUGGUUCCUAGAAUUGGAAAAUGAGGAAUUUACGAAAUUUCUUAAACUUCAAAAAUUUGGAUUAAUCUGAUUCAUUGAUUUUGGUGAGAUCAAUGGCUCUGAUUUGGUCUAUAUUCUCUAUAUAGGGAAGUGGUCUCCAUUGAAGCUGACCCUAUAACAGACGUAUUUAGUAAAAAUAGAGAAAAUCUCACCACCAGCAGGAUUCGAACCCGGGGCAAAAUUUUUGUUUAUGCGGUACAUUGAGAUAUUCAUCAAAAUUAUAGAUCUGUUCGUUUUUGUUUCACGAAUUCUCUAUUCUCUAAAUAUUUAGCAUUCUAUGUUGAACCUUUCUCUCUCUCUCUCUCUCUCUCUAUAUAUAUAUAUAUAUAUAUAGAGUGAAAAGAAAGAACAUAAUAUAAGAAUGAUACUCCAAUUAUAAGUUGAAAUGGAACAUAAUAUGCAAGCAAACUGUGUGUUUUCUUACUCAUAAUUCUGGAUUUGGUCUAGGAAUUAGGUUGAAGCUUUAUGGAAACAAGGCUGAAGAAUAGGGCUGAGCAAAACCAAAUCGGAACCGCCAAACCGAACCGAACCGAACCAAACCGGGCGGUUUGGUUCGGUUUAUGUAGAGAAAACGGUUCGGUUUGGUUUGAAAAUUUUCAAACCGCCAGAAAACGGUUCGGGUUCGGUUUGAGAAAAACGGUUUGGUUUAUAAACCGAACCCGCCCGAUUUAAAUAUAAUUAAUAAAUAUUUAUUUUUAAAUAAUUAAUUAAUAAAUAUUUAAAAAUUAAAUUUAGAAUUUUACACUUUACAUUAAAUUCAAAUGUACAUAAGAUUUUUAUUAUGUGCUUGUUCUUUAAUUUUUACAAACUCUUGGUUGUAGAAGUAAAUGAUUUUAUCUAGAUGUGGUAAUUUUUGCUUAUUCAUAGUACUUUAAUUUUUGCUUAUAGCUUUUUUUUUGAAAAAAAAAAAAACGGUUUUGGCCAAACCUAACCGAACCGAACCGAAAAUUUACGGUUCGGUUUGGUUCGGUUUUGACCAGUCAAACGGUUUGGUUUGGUUCGAAAUUUUUUAGGCGGUUUGGGUUUUGGGUUGGGUAUUUCGGUUCGGUUUCAACCCAACCCGCCCGAAUGCUCACCCCUACUGAAGAAUAUGAGGGAGACAAGAUCGAAUUGCCUCGGCUGCUAAAAGCAGGAUUUCUUGCAAUUCCAGAGAUGAAAGAUCAAAGAAGAGGAAAUGUGAAGCAUGAAAAUUGGGAGGGGUGAAGCCAUCAAAGUUCAUCAAUCUCAGCCAUCAGAAUAACUCAUUCCUUGAGAAAAUGUCACAACCAUCAGCUGCAGAUGGAGCAACGAAAUUCCAAUACAGCAAUGCAGCAACAGCAAAAUAUAGCAACAACAAUGCAGCAACAACAACAUUUCCUAACUAAUUGAGCAAAAUAUAGCAAAUCUAAAGCUGAAAAAAAAAUCUUGAGGAGAAUCCAGAUCUCACAUUUUAUAGCAAUAAUAGCCAAAUUUUAACUUCAUUCCUUGUUCAUAAACAAUGAGGAUCGAAAAAAGUAUCAGGAUACAUAGGAAACCAAAAAAGAAAGAAUAAGAAAUUCAAUUACCUACUGAUUCUUCGAUGAGGCGUAAGAAGAGAUAUGGUCUGGUCUUGAAAGGAUAAUAAUGGCUGCCAAAGGUAUUUGUGGUGGUGAUUCUGACCGGCAGCUCCGGCUUGGAUAUGGCAGCUAACUGUUAGAUCGCAAUCUCAGGGGAAUGCGGCGGCUGUGGACGGGAAUCGACGACGAGGCAAGGAAAUAGGCGGCCGAGUGCAGGAAUCGGCGACGAUGCAAGGAAAUAGGCGGCCGAAGCUGAGAAUCUC
rnacentral:lncRNA from 1 species